GGGUUGUGAGGUUAAGCGACUAAGCGUACACGGUGGAUGCCCUGGCAGUCAGAGGCGAUGAAGGACGUGCUAAUCUGCGAUAAGCGUCGGUAAGGUGAUAUGAACCGUUAUAACCGGCGAUUUCCGAAUGGGGAAACCCAGUGUGAUUCGUCACACUAUCAUUAACUGAAUCCAUAGGUUAAUGAGGCGAACCGGGGGAACUGAAACAUCUAAGUACCCCGAGGAAAAGAAAUCAACCGAGAUUCCCCCAGUAGCGGCGAGCGAACGGGGAGCAGCCCAGAGCCUGAAUCAGUGUGUGUGUUAGUGGAAGCGUCUGGAAAGGCGCGCGAUACAGGGUGACAGCCCCGUACACAAAAAUGCACAUACUGUGAGCUCGAUGAGUAGGGCGGGACACGUGGUAUCCUGUCUGAAUAUGGGGGGACCAUCCUCCAAGGCUAAAUACUCCUGACUGACCGAUAGUGAACCAGUACCGUGAGGGAAAGGCGAAAAGAACCCCGGCGAGGGGAGUGAAAAAGAACCUGAAACCGUGUACGUACAAGCAGUGGGAGCACAGAGCAAUCUGUGUGACUGCGUACCUUUUGUAUAAUGGGUCAGCGACUUAUAUUCUGUAGCAAGGUUAACCGAAUAGGGGAGCCGAAGGGAAACCGAGUCUUAACCGGGCGUUAAGUUGCAGGGUAUAGACCCGAAACCCGGUGAUCUAGCCAUGGGCAGGUUGAAGGUUGGGUAACACUAACUGGAGGACCGAACCGACUAAUGUUGAAAAAUUAGCGGAUGACUUGUGGCUGGGGGUGAAAGGCCAAUCAAACCGGGAGAUAGCUGGUUCUCCCCGAAAGCUAUUUAGGUAGCGCCUCGUGAAUUCAUCUCCGGGGGUAGAGCACUGUUUCGGCAAGGGGGUCAUCCCGACUUACCAACCCGAUGCAAACUGCGAAUACCGGAGAAUGUUAUCACGGGAGACACACGGCGGGUGCUAACGUCCGUCGUGAAGAGGGAAACAACCCAGACCGCCAGCUAAGGUCCCAAAGUCAUGGUUAAGUGGGAAACGAUGUGGGAAGGCCCAGACAGCCAGGAUGUUGGCUUAGAAGCAGCCAUCAUUUAAAGAAAGCGUAAUAGCUCACUGGUCGAGUCGGCCUGCGCGGAAGAUGUAACGGGGCUAAACCAUGCACCGAAGCUGCGGCAGCGACACUGUGUGUUGUUGGGUAGGGGAGCGU
rnacentral:rRNA from 1 species